rnacentral:rRNA from 1 species
AUUGAACGCUAGCGGUAUGCCUUACACAUGCAAGUCGACCGGAGUGGCGAACGGGUGAGUAAUGUAUCGGAACGUGCCCAGUAGCGGGGGAUAACUACGCGAAAGCGUAGCUAAUACCGCCUACUAUUGGAGCGGCCGAUAUCGGAUUAGCUAGAUGGUGGGGUAACGGCUCACCAAGGCGCAGAUCCCUAGCUGGUUUGAGAGGGCGACAAGCCACACUGGUACUGAGACACGGCCCAGACUCCUACGGGAGUCAGCAGUGGGGAAUGUUGUACAAUGGGGGAAACCCGGAUCCAGCCAGCCCGCGUGUGCGAUGAAGGCCUUCGGGUUGUAAAGCACUUUUGGCAGGAAAGCGGUACCUGCAGAAUAAGCACCGGCUAACUACGUGCCAGCAGCCGCGGUAAUAC